rnacentral:lncRNA from 1 species
GGGGGGAGCUCCCGCGCCGGGCGGCCCGCAACCCCCGCGCCCCACGCAGCUGUGGGUGAGAUUGACAGCGACCUGAUAGGAUUUAUUCUGCUGUUUUUAAUGCUCAAGAAGUGUUUCGUGUGAAGUAUUGGGAUGCUAUUAGAGAAAAUUUAAGUGUGUAUAUUGUGUAAAUUACCUAUACAACAUCUGUUAUCAUGCACUUUUUCUUUUUAACACCGAGAAGCGGCGUCAGAUGUCUGCAGUGCUUGGAGCUGCUCUGUCGUCAGCGGCAGGAAGUUUAGACCGGGGCAUCCACAGGAUGUUCUUUUUCAUCACCACCAGCUACAGAGAACAAGUGAUAAAUAACAGCGCCUGCAUGCACGGUCACAUACAUUUCCUCACGUAACAAUAGCCCUGAAUAUGCAGGAAGCAAGACCCAUUUGAAGCUGGGAUCAGAGAGACGUUCUCUGGCUUUUGAUGGAGAGGUCGUUGCCUUACAGAGACCCAGCCAGUGACCUUGGCUCCCAGCGCCAGCUUCUGCCAAAGAAGCCCCUGGCUCAGACCACUACGUUAGGCCAAGGAAAUCCCUUGACGACAUCUGUCCCCAGCACGGAAUCAAACUAUUAUUCAAAGGACAAACCGUCUCUUAUUAAUUAGAAGAAAUCCUAGAAGCAGCCUUGUGCACAAGGGCACGCAAGGCUUUUACUUCUCCCUUGGUGAGUAUUAGCCCUGGGCCUCAGAGCAACGCCGGCGGGGACUGUUGUAUCACCGCCUUAGCUCGAUGGGGGACAUUCAGGGUAUUUAAUUAUUCCAUGUUUAUUCUAGAGGACAAUAAAUUUUGUCGUUUCUAUAAACCUAAGCAUGCCAGUACACAAUUCAGUUGCUUCCAUGAAAAAAUUUAACUCAUUAUUUCUACUAACGGACCAGUUUGAAAUUUUCAACAGUUGGGACACUUUGGUGAAGUACAAAAGACCGGCCCUCCCACUCGGCGCUGUUACUGAAAUGAGCUCCUUCGGAGGAGCUGUCCCAUCCCAUCCUUGGCUCCACGGACCUUGUUAUUUCAGUUCGUGGGAUGGGAAGCAAGGAUUGGGGAGAGGACCUUUAGUUCCCAGUGGGAAUUGAAUGUUCAGAAGGCAGGAGAAAAGUAAGUCGAGAAACCUCACUGUGUUUUCUACACCUCCCCUCCCACCAUCCUUCUGGUUUCCUUGCUCUGGCGGCCGCGGGCCUCUCUCCCAUCACCCCUCUUCAGUCUUUGCUGAUAGCAGGAAUGGUAGCUGCAGAGUCGCUGCCGGAGCCCCUGGCCUCUCUGUUCUUCCUGGAAGCCUUCCUCAGGCACCAGUCCUUCUUUCCGCCUUGCCUUUUGACCCGCACAGUAAAACAGACCUGACGAGGUUGACGAGGGACAACGGUGAGUUUCCCUUACCAGCUUUCGACUGGCCAGAGAUGCAAGCAGAUGUGGGGUGCACAUUACUAAAUCUUUGGAGUCCUCAUUCUUCCGCGCCCCAUCAUGGAGCUAUCAGCACCACCAUUUUACAGAUGAGGAAACUGAGAAAAUCAUACAGCUAAGUGACAGACACAAGAUUCAAACCAGGUGUCUCUGACAUUAGAGCAGAAUCUCUUUAGUCCUGUGCUAUACUGCCUCCAUUAAAAAUCAUGUUUGAGGGGCUGGCCCCGUGGCCGAGUGGUUGGGUUCGCGCGCUCC